rnacentral:rRNA from 1 species
GCUUACGGCCACACUCCCUGAGCACACCCGAUCUCGUCUGAUCUCGGAAGCUAAGCAGGGUCGGGCCGGUUAGUACUGGAUGGGAGACCGCCUGGGAAUACCAGGUGCUGUAAGCC